ACGCACGCUGGCGGCAUGCCUAACACAUGCAAGUCGAACGAGACCUUCGGGUCUAGUGGCGCACGGGUGCGUAACGCGUGGGAACCUGCCCUUAGGUUCGGAAUAACUCCCCGAAAGGGGUGCUAAUACCGGAUAAUGUCUUCGGACCAAAGAUUUAUCGCCUUUGGAUGGGCCCGCGUUGGAUUAGCUAGUUGGUAGGGUAAAAGCCUACCAAGGCGACGAUCCAUAGCUGGUCUGAGAGGAUGAUCAGCCACACUGGGACUGAGACACGGCCCAGACUCCUACGGGAGGCAGCAGUGGGGAAUAUUGGACAAGGGGCGAAAGCCUGAUCCAGCAAUGCCGCGUGAGUGAUGAAGGCCUUAGGGUUGUAAAGCUCUUUUACCCGGGAUGAUAAUGACAGUACCGGGAGAAUAAGCUCCGGCUAACUCCGUG
rnacentral:rRNA from 1 species